AGGAGAGGGGUCAGGUGAACUUGACUCCAUAAUGACUGAGUUAAUUUCCCGGUCCAACAUCGGUCCAUAUUCUUGAACGUAUACUCUCUUUCUCUCUCCUUCAACCCUUAAGCAUCUCCCUUCCUCAGCUACCUUUUUACCUUUUUCCUCCCUUCUCCCUUUCUCUCCCCUUCGUUCCUUUAACCAUUUCCCUUUCCCAUCCUCAUUUCUCACUUCCGGUCUCACAUUACGGCUAUUUCCUAAGGUCACAGGGAAGAUUAACCGGGUAUUUCAUGGGUGUUACGAUUAUUUCCUAAGGUCACAGAGAAGAUUAACCGGGUAUUUCAUGGCUGUUACGAUUAUUUCCUAAGGUCACAGAGGAGAUUAACCGGGUAUUUCAUGGCUGUUACGAUUAUUUCCUAAGGUCACAGGGGAGAUUAACCGGGUAUUUCAUGGCUGUUAUGAUUAUUUCCUAAGGUCACAGGGGAGAUUAACCGGGUAUUUCAUGGCUGUUACGAUUAUUUCCUAAGGUCACAGGGGAGAUUAACCGGGUAUUUCAUGGCUGUUAUGAUUAUUUCCUAAGGUCACAGGGGAGAUUAACCGGGUAUUUCAUGGCUGUUACGAUUAUUUCCUAAGGUCACAGAGGAGAUUAACCGGGUAUUUCAUGGCUGUUACGAUUAUUUCCAAGGCCACAGAGGAGAUUAACCGGGUAUUUCAUGGCUGUUACGAUUAUUUCCAAGGCCACAGAGGAGAUUAACCGGGUAUUUCAUGGCUGUUACGAUUAUUUCCUAAGGUCACAGGGGAGAUUAACCGGGUAUUUCAUGGCUGUUACGAUUAUUUCCUAAGGUCACAGGGGAGAUUAACCGGGUAUUUCAUGGCUGUUACGAUUAUUUCCAAGGCCACAGAGAUUAACCGGGUAUUUCAUGGCUGUUACGGCGAUUUUCCAAUGCCACAGAGAUUAACCGGGUAUUUCAUG